rnacentral:rRNA from 1 species
CAGGACUUGACAUGGCCGAGACCGCGGUGGAAACACCGCCUCCCCGCAAGGGGCUCGGUCACAGGUGUUGCAUGGCUGUCGUCAGCUCGUGUCGUGAGAUGUUGGGUUAAGUCCCGCGACGAGCGCAACCCCUACUGUGUGUUGUAUCACUCACACGGGACUGCCGAGAGAAACUCGGGAGGAAGGUGGGGGAUGAAGUCAAGGUCAGCAUGGCCCUUACGUCCUGGGCUACACCCACGCUACAAUGGCCGAUACAACGGGCGGCGAAACCGCGAGGUGGAGCGAAUCCCUUAAAGUCGGUCUCAGUUCGGAUUGUAGGCUGCAACUCGCCUACAUGAAGCCGGAGUUGCUAGUAACCGCAGGUCAGCAUUACUGCGGUGAAUAUGUUCCC